CCGCGUGAGUGAUGAAGGUUUUCGGAUCNAAAACUCUGUUGUUGGGGAAGAACAAGUAUCGGAGUAACUGCCGGUACCUUGACGGUACCUAACCAGAAAGCCACGGCUAACUACGUGCCAGCAGCCGCGGUAAUACGUAGGUGGCAAGCGUUGUCCGGAAUUAUUGGGCGUAAAGCGCGCGCAGGCGGUCCUUUAAGUCUGAUGUGAAAGCCCACGGCUCAACCGUGGAGGGUCAUUGGAAACUGGGGGACUUGAGUGCAGAAGAGGAGAGUGGAAUUCCACGUGUAGCGGUGAAAUGCGUAGAGAUGUGGAGGAACACCAGUGGCGAAGGCGACUCUCUGGUCUGUAACUGACGCUGAGGCGCGAAAGCGUGGGGAGCGAACAGGAUUAGAUACCCUGGUAGUCCACGCCGUAAACGAUGAGUGCUAAGUGUUAGAGGGUUUCCGCCCUUUAGUGCUGCAGCAAACGCAUUAAGCACUCCGCCUGGGGAGUACGGCCGCAAGGCUGAAACUCAAAGGAAUUGACGGGGGCCCGCACAAGCGGUGGAGCAUGUGGUUUAAUUCGAAGCAACGCGAAGAACCUUACCAGGUCUUGACAUCCUCUGACAACCCUAGAGAUAGGGCGUUCCCCUUCGGGGGACAGAGUGACAGGUGGUGCAUGGUUGUCGUCAGCUCGUGUCGUGAGAUGUUGGGUUAAGUCCCGGCACGAGCGCAACCC
rnacentral:rRNA from 1 species